ACCUGCCCCAGCGACAGCCCCGGAAAGCCGGCCUCGGCUCCCAGGACGCAGCUCAGGAGUGCGAAGGAGGCUCCAGUUAAGCAGAUCCAAUAAACAAGAAGUGAAGACAGGGUCUUGAGGAAGCCCCCUCCCUUGGACAUGAGUCUGGAAUCUGACGUCUCAUUUCAUGCAUCCUGACUUUCCAGAGGCUGGGGAGGACAAGAUCAAGGCACCAGCCAGCUUGGUUCAUGGCGAGAGAGGCUCUCUUCCUGGCUUGAGGACGGUCACCUUCUCAUCGUGUCCUCCCGUGGGGAGAAAGAGCAAGCUGUCUGGUCUCUUCUUGUAAACACAUGAAUUCCAUCAGAUCAGGGCCACCCUAGGACCUCAAUUAACGUUAAUUAUCUCCUUAUUGGCUCUAUCUCAAGACACACACUGGGACACUGGAGCUUCAACGUAUGAGCCUCAGGGGUACAGAAUUCGGUCCCUAGCAGGUAUGGUCUCAGAUUUAGAACGGAACUAAGUUUUAAGAAACUGUCAACUUCUGGUGUGA